GGGCCCAUAGCUCAGUGGUUAGAGCAGUCGGCUCAUAACCGAUUGGUCGCUGGUUCAAACCCAGCUGGGCCCACCA
rnacentral:tRNA from 1 species